rnacentral:rRNA from 1 species
CCUACGGGAGGCAGCAGUAGGGAAUAUUGCACAAUUGGGGAAACCCUGAUGCAGCGACGCCGCGUGAGUGAUGAAGUUUUUCGGUAUGUAAAGCUCUAUCGGCAGAGAAGAAAAUGACGGUACCUGAUUAAUAAGCCCCGGCUAACUCCGUGCCAGCAGCCGCGGUAAUACGUAGGGGGCAAGCGUUAUCCGGAUUUACUGGGUGUAAAGUGAGCGUAGGCGGGAGAACAAGUCUGGUGUGAAAUGCCAGGGCUUAACCACGGAACUGCUUUUGAAACUGUGAAGCUAGAGUGCAGGAGAGGUAAGUGGAAUUCCUAGUGUAGGGGUGAAAUGCGUAGAGAUUAGGAGGAAUACUAGUGGCGAAGGCGGCUUACUGGACUGUAACUGACGCUGAGGCUCGAAAGCGUGGGGAGCAAACAGGAUUAGAUACCCUUGUAGUC